CAAUUAUGAAUCGUAAAUCAUUUUCAUCAUGUAUUCAUGUCAUGUUUCAAAACAUUGCUCACAGACAUUCGUGCUAAGGUCACUACUAUACCUGUGACAGGGCCAUGUUUCUUAAUCGACAGAGUUCUUAAUUCAUGUGCCAACUUUAUACCCGCUGGCAGGGCCAUGUUUCGUGUGGAUGCUAGCUCCGGAUGUCGACCUUCCCGAAGGAAUUCAUUCAUAGCCAUCUGAGAGCCUUUGAAAUCAUUAUAUCUUUUUCUUAAAGCAUACAUAUACAUAGAUGGAAAAACAAUAAAAUUCAUGCUUCAUAAUCAUGCUAUUUUCAUAAGACAUAUUCAUGAAAUCAAUGCUCAUAAUAAAACAUGCUUUUUCAUAUCACAUAUGCCAAUCCUUAUUUUAUGAAAAAUUAUGAUUUCA
rnacentral:lncRNA from 1 species